rnacentral:rRNA from 1 species
GACGUAGGGCGCGAGCGUUGUCCGGAUUUAUUGGGCGUAAAGAGCUCGUAGGCGGCUUGUCGCGUCGACUGUGAAAUCCCGCGGCUCAACCGCGGGUCUGCAGUCGAUACGGGCAGGCUAGAGUUCGGUAGGGGAGACUGGAAUUCCUGGUGUAGCGGUGAAAUGCGCAGAUAUCAGGAGGAACACCGAUGGCGAAGGCAGCCAUCUGGACCGACACUGACGCUGAGGCGCGAAAGCGUGGGGAGCAAACAGG